rnacentral:rRNA from 1 species
UACGGAGGGUGCAAGCGUUAAUCGGAAUUACUGGGCGUAAAGCGCACGCAGGUGGCUGAGUCAGUCGAUUGUGAAAGCCCUGGGCUUAACCUAGGAAUUGCAGUCGAUACUACUCAGCUAGAGUAUGGGAGAGGGCAGUGGAAUUCCCGGUGUAGCGGUGAAAUGCGCAGAUAUCAGGAGGAACACCGGUGGCGAAGGCGGGUCUCUGGGCCGAUACUGACGCUGAGGAGCGAAAGCGUGGGGAGCGAACAGG